CAGUCGCCGCGGUAAGACAGAGGAUGCAAGCGUUAUCCGGAAUUAUUGGGCGUAAAGGGCUCGCAGGCGGUUUCUUAAGUCUGAUGUGAAAGCCCCCGGCUCAACCGGGGAGGGUCAUUGGAUACUGGGAAACUUGAGUGCAGAAGAGGAGAGCGGAAUUCCACGUGUAGCGGUGAAAUGCGUAGAGAUGUGGAGGAACACCAGUGGCGAAGGCGACUCUCUGGUCUGUAACUGACGCUGAGGAGCGAAAGCGUGGGGAGCGAACAGGAUUAGAUACCCCUGUAGUCCCUGUCUCUUAUAC
rnacentral:rRNA from 1 species